rnacentral:rRNA from 1 species
AGAACGAACGCUGGCGGCAUGCCUAAUACAUGCAAGUCGAACGAACUCUUCGGAGUUAGUGGCGCACGGGUGCGUAACGCGUGGGAAUCUGCCCCUUGGUUCGGAAUAACAGUUGGAAACGACUGCUAAUACCGGAUGAUGACGAAAGUCCAAAGAUUUAUCGCCAAGGGAUGAGCCCGCGUAGGAUUAGCUAGUUGGUGAGGUAAAGGCUCACCAAGGCAACGAUCCUUAGCUGGUCUGAGAGGAUGAUCAGCCACACUGGGACUGAGGCACGGCCCAGACUCCGUACGGGAGGCAGCAGUAGGGGAACA